rnacentral:rRNA from 1 species
CCUGAGAAACCCGAAAGAUCGAAUGGGGAGAUUCAUCGUCAGCGAUAGCGGUACGCGCGCGGUUCGCGAUACCGCGGGGCUCGUCCUCGCGGCACGCGUCCAUGCGUAUUUUAAUGCCGUUCAUCGUCGGCGUGCACUUCUCCCCUAGUAGGACGUCGCGACCCGUUGGGUGUCGGUCUACGGCCCGGGUAGGCGCCUGUUCCGUGUCGCGCCUCGGCGUUGACGCGGUUCAGCCCCCGGUCGCCCGACCGGCUGCUCGGCGGUAAUCGCAAGGUAUCUGGCCGCAAUUGAACUGCGUCCGGCCCGUCGCAAGCGCGGCAAGUUCCCGAAUGUACGGAUCCAAUGCCGUCGCCGGUGCUUGCCAGCUGUUGGCUGAUGGUGUCCUAGGACAGGCUAAACAAUACCAGUCGGCGACGCUACUGCUUUGGGUACUUUCAGGA